ensembl:lncRNA
UCAACAUCACCUGGAAUGUUUUACAAAUACAAAUUCAUGAGCCCUGCCAGAUGAGUCAGAAUCUCUGAGGAUGGGGCUCUCAGGAGUAAUUGUUUUAAAAAUCUCUCCAGGUGAUUCUUAUGUACCUAAAGUUUAAGAAGCCUUCGUCUAGCAGACAUUUUCCUUUAAGAAAGCACUCUGAAGACGUGCAUGCUUCUCUAUCAAGGAGAAAACCAAAUGAAAUGAGCAGAUUAAAAGGCAAGACUCCUGGUGGAAAGUAGAUGGGCAAACAUGCUAGAAACAUUGUGAGGUGUGAGAAGGAGGAUAAAAAACCAGAUAGGAGGAGCACCAUGGUUCUCCAAGGAAUAACAUGGAAAAACGUGAACACAGGAAUGCAAACUCAAAGGAGGACUGAAGGAAGUUCGCCUGGAACCAGAAGUUCCAAGAAAUGGCAGAAGUACUGAGGAUGUAAGCAUCUUCCACACUGAGGAGAGAAUGGCCGUUCCACUCAUGAGGGGGAUGAAAAUGGAAAAGAUGUAAGCAUUAUGAAGUUAAAAGGGCAAAUGACCUCCUAGAAUAAAGAAAACAUGUCCCUUGCGGCUGACCAUGGACAUAUAAGUAAAUUCCAGUCAGAAGAGUAGAGUGAAGAUGUUAUAUAGUUGAUCUGGGGGACUUUCCGUUGGUGACUCAGUUCUGUGGUGUGACUUUCAGAUCCAUUCUCAAAACUACAAUUUAUUAGUCAACUUUUGCUCAAAAUUUUAUUUGUUUAUGACAUGGCUUUCUUUCUCUCCUGGGCUUGUGAGUUGGCUGUGGCAGCUCUAUUUCAGGCUGCAGAUCAGGAUCAAUUAUGCUUCAUAGACCUAUCAUUCUGAGAUGCAGGCUGAAGUAGCAGCAACUUCCUAGGGCAUGCUCUUCUCACGAUGGAUGGCAGGAGCACAAGAGAGUGAGUGGAAAUGCAGGAUUCUUAAAGCAUCUACUCAGAAUGGGUGUAGUGUCACAUUCACUUGGUCAAAUACUCUUUGAGCGUCUGACAUAUACUCUGUUCUAUUGGGAGACACCUCAAUGUCACAUGACAGAGAGCUUGGAUGUACAACCCAGUAACAUAGAGGGAGCAAAGAGUUGGCAAUAGUAAUCCAAUCUACCACACUCAGAUUAUGUUCUGUUUCUAAAAAUUCCCAAGGAUAUUAUAAGCCAUUGAAUUUCCUAUAAAAAAUUCCUAUCUCACUUUAUCUUGAAUGGCUUCUGUUCUCUGCAGAUAAAUUCUGACUGAAAUUUUCCAGAACAUUUUAUUUUUUAACUCAUCUACAAUUUUUCUGGUGCAAGAUCAGAAAGAAGAGUGUUCAUCUGCCAUUUCUACCACUAAACAUGUUCUUCACCUCUACUCUGUGAAGCAACAUGCUCUUCCACUAUGGGCUUUGAGUGGGAUAGCCAUCCUACCAUGGGCAGAACAUGUGAUAUCAUCUUAAUCAAACAAGAAUGGAUAGGUAUUGAAAUACAGUGGAGUUGGGGUAAUCGUAUGGAUCCCAUAGAGAUUAGAAACUAUGAAUGCGGGGCCGGCCCGUGGCCGAGUGGUUAAGUUUGUGCACUCUGCUUCAGUGCCCCAGGGUUCGGAUCCUGGGCGCAGACAUGGCACCGCUCACUAGGCCAUGUUGAGGCGACAUCGCACAUGCCGCAACUAGAAGGACCCAUUACUAAAAUAUACAACUAUGCACGGGGGGGAUUUGGGGAGAAAAAAAAAAGAAACUAUGAAUGCCCCAGGAAAGAAUAAAACUGAUAGAAUGAUGAAGACUAAAGAUUCAGUGUGCUGUUCUGAAUAUGAGCAGCUAUUUACAGUGAACACGGUAAAUGGGAAUAGCUUAGAGUUAGCAGUAGAUCUAGGCUAGUUGGUAACAAUGGAUAUGCUUACUGAUAAAUGUUUGCCUUCUGAGAAAACCUGCUGAGGAAAAUUUAUGGGUAGAUACGCAUGUGGGCAUUUAUAUGUGUACCCCUUCUUCUUUGUAGAAAGGAAUUGGAUUUGUUUUCCAGAAUUAUUGCUUUUGAUUACUUCUGCAAAACUCCUCAGAUAUGUAGGGGACUUUUGGAAGGGGCAGGAAAAGGUGAGUGGAAGGGAGAACAAAGAAAAGUCACAGGGUAGAAAUAGAUUCACUUCAAUUCGGAUUGUUGUGUAUGGUGGAAAUAAAAUUCAGGAGUUAUUUCUCCACAUUCAGUUUAGGAAGAGUGAUUUUCUCCUCCAAAAGUUCUGAUUUGUCUUAUAUCAACUUUGCCUAUUCUUUACUUAGUAUUGCAUUUUCCCCUUGUACUCACUGUUUACCCACUUUGAAGGAACUCAAUAUGAUUUCCAAUCAAAAUUAUAUGAGACUCUUCCAGGCAUAACUUGUAACACAGUGUGAAAUACCUUUAGGAAGGAACCUCUGGCAUACACGUCUGCUCUCAAACACAUAUAUGUGUGUUCCUAAAAGCAUAAAGGAUGACUGGAAUAAGAUUUUAUUCAGUUAUACAAAUAAUCAAUGUCAAUAUCAGCUGCAUUGUUCCUGUAGCUAAUUCCACUCCAGCAAUUAUCCACAUGAAACUCUUCUUUGUUCUUUAUGGUGGUCAAUAUAUCCAUAAUCAAUUUAAAUUUAUUAGAUUAAAUAACAUUAUUUAGGAAAACUAAAUUCUGUGUGUAUCCAGUUCCGAGAUAUCAGUGUAUCUUUGAAAGUUGUAGAAAAUGUUAUUGCUUCUUAUUAUGUGGAGACUUGACUAGUAAGACAGCAGAGCUCUCCACUCACCAAGAGAGCUAAAGGAUAUGGGUUGGGUUAAAUACGUAGAAAGAGAAAAGAGGAGACAGUUAUAGUGUUUCUGAGAAGUACUGUACACUAGGAGGAUCAGAGGACAAAUAAAAAAUGUUACAAGAGUCGUGAAGAAACAGUUUAGGGUCAUUAAAUCCAGGAUCUAAGAGAUGGAGUAGCAGAACCUAAAGCCAUUAGGCUAAGAGAAUAAGGACCAAUGAGCUGGAACUCAGGCACAUUGUCUUGUAGCAAAGGUAAAAAUGGAAACUCUGGCUGAAUAGGCAGAAUCUGGAAACUAGAUCGGAAUAACAAUCCUUACACACAAACUGCAAGUAAUACAUUUGACUUCGUAAUUAUUAAAGAAAAAGGACUAAUUUUCAUACAUUUCAAGUGGAAAUUAGUCUUAUUACGUUAAAAUUCCUUCCCAGACUAGGAACUGGUCCCAAAGAAUACGUUACCCCUAGGCCAUGAGUUGAAACAGAUAGACAGGCUAGAGUCAGGACCCUGCCCUCAUCUUCUCUAGUUUGCAUUUGUAACUUCUAUGUGUAUGCUUCCUGAUCUCUAACUCAAAUACCACUAUGGCAGGGUUUAAAUUAAUUUUUGAAUACCUCUGUGUUCAGAAUUUUGCUAUUUCAAAUAUUACUUGAAAAUAGAGGUUCAGAUUAGGACUUUACAUUUCACGAUACUUAGAAAAGCUUUUAGAAAGCGUUAUUGCACCAAAAUGUUACAUAACUAUACUUUUUCUCCAGUGAAGCUCUAUGUUUAUCUCCAGACUCAAAGUCAUUUGUCCCCAUUCAUAUGUGUGUAAUUAAUACACAUUAAACCCCUUAAAGUCCAUUCAUUCAGUGGCUUAAUAUUUGCCUUCUGUUUUCAUGCAUUUUAUUUUUCUGGUCUUAGGCUAUAUACUAUUUAAAUUUAUCACCUUCUGAAUGUCAAUCAGCAAGUCAAUAAAGAACCCACACACUUCUAUUAAGACUAUCCCCUACAGGAUUGUAUGUCUCCAUCAGCAGGAGUCAAUUAGAGACUUAGAAUUCUGCAUGCUCCUGGCAAGAAUUCCCCGCUUCUUAUUCCCCAUAGAAAUCAGAAAUUUUUCUGUCUUGGGAAAGUCAACAAUGAUCUCUCCAUACCCUUUAUCUUGUUCUUGGAAGACACCAUAGGAAUCUCUGGUCACCUGAUAAUUGGAAGCUGUAAACAGCUCUGUUCUCACCCUAUACCACGCCCUGAAUUAGUCAGUCUUACCACAAAACAGAAUGCCACUCUGAUGGUUCAACUGAAGAGAUUUAAUGAAGAGGCAAUUUACAGAGGUCUGAGUUAGAGCUAAGGCAACCAACAGAUAUUUGAUGUACCUAGAGAUAAACAACAAAAAGAAAUGAUUAUCAUAAGGACAAUGGGAGAAAGAGUGUUUAAGGAGGUCAGUGAAAGCUGGAGCAGUGAAGGAGGAUCAUCAGGAGCUAUAUUGAUGUUGAGGAGCAGACAUUGUGAGAACAAUGGCCUGAAGCAAGGAGAAAGUGAGAAGGAAAAGAAUGGAUAUCCCUAUCCUCUCUUUCCUCCCACCAUCCAGUCUCCUAACAGUGCCACCUCUUGUCCAAACUCAAACAAAUGUUGACCAAUAAGGAAGCCAGGUGAUGUGGUCCAUAGAAGUCAGAUUCCUGGGGAAUACAGCAGAGAAAAGAAGAGGAGGAGAAUGAAUUUUGGGGGGUUGAUAGCAAAAUCAACUUUACUUUUUCCUACCUACUGAAAUCAUUUUGUCUUAUCCAGCACACCUCGAGGUCAAUUAUCAGCAAAAUUUCCUAUAUUCUCAAACUUUGCUCAAAAAAUUUCCUUCUUCUUACUCAAACUGAAACUCGGAAUUCUUCCCAAAAAUCUGCUUCCCAUGACAACCUCAUAAGUGGUGCCUGUUUUCUUCCUAUAUUCCUAUACUCCUCUUAUCUACAAGUGGGGUUGCUCUUCAUUGCUGCUUCCAAAAACAUUCUCCUUCUCUCUUUAAGUACCCCAACAUUUGAAUCUCAUGCCAGUAGGAUGUAAUACCCACUAUUCCUUAUUGCAGCCAUCCAUAGCUCUUUAAGCUCACAUCUGUUAUUUUACGAAUAUGUGAGCUCCUGAUUCACUGACAUUUUCUGAUAUACUACUCCUUUUAUAAUUAUAGCUGAUAGCUGAUUCCAAUAUCCAUUUUGAUGACUGUUCAAAUAUUUAGCUAUUAGUUUCUUACCUUUCUUUUAUCCAAUGAUCUUGUCUUCCAUCAUACCUUAGUCACAAGAUAAUGGCCAUAGAAUUUGUUACUACUGGUAAACAUAAUCUCUUCAGAACUCCAGUUCAAGCCUCCUGCCCUUCAACUACCACCUGCUUUCUUUCAACUUACUCCCUCAACUCAACCACCACUGUACCUUCAAUCCAUUGAUUCUAUAAUCUUGUUUUCACUCUCAUGUCCCUCUUGUCCUCACUUUCUUUUUAGCCCAACUUAAAUUCUAUGCUCAGUCAUCAUUAUUCCUUCCUUACAUAGAUCCUCAAAUCUCUUGCCCUUCUCUCACUAAGUCAUACUUUCUUGGACCCACCACAGCUGAUUAAUUCCACUUUUCUGCGUAGUCCUUGAUGGCAUCUACAUAGUUAAACAGUGCUGGAACAAACCACAUGCCAUUGUAUUUAGGCCCUCCUAAAUUCAUUGUCACUCACUUUAUGUUAUCCUAAUGUUAUCCAGAAAUCACACAAAAUUUUCCUAGUCUGUUCUCUCCUAGGAUACUAGUUUAUAAUUUUUUCUUUCUCUUCACAUUCCCAGCACCUCCUUUUCCAUUAUCAUCCUCAGCUGGUGAUGUUGUAUUCCAUUUUACUAAAAUAAUAAUAAUAAUAAAGCAAUCAGAAGAAAACACAAGUUUCCACCACCACAUCUACCCACUUGCCUUUAUCUGUGUGUAUAUGCUCUAGAAUGUCUAUGAAUGACCUGUUGAUAUACCUAGAUAAGGCCAAAUCUUCCACUAAUGAACUAUAUCCCUUCUCCACUGAGUCAAGCACUUUGUCCCAGCAAGACUGCUCUUUUUCUCCUGAAUCUUUUCUCCUGAAGCCGUUCCAUCUACCAGAUCAUUUCCAUCUGCAUGAAAACAGGCUAUCAUUCCUCCUGAGGUUGACCUCACUUCUAGCUUCAGCUACCACCACAUUUUCUUCCUUCCCACUACAGCAAAAUUCCUUGGUUUCUUUUCCUUUUUAACACUGCUGUCUCCAACUUUUCUUCUUUCAAUCUCUCUGGAACCCUCCAUGUUUCAACCACUGCAAACUUCUUGCAUCAAGGUCACUAAAAAGCUCCAUUGAUAAAUCCAAUGGCAAGUUCUUGAUAUUCAUACUAUUUGCUCUAUCAGUAGCUCUUUACAGAGUGAGUCACUCUCAUUCCUGAAAUGCUUUUUUCCCCACUUAACUUCUAGGACAUCACACACAUCCGUUUUUCCCUUCUUCCUUUCUAGCUGUUCAGCUCAUCAUCUUUUCCUAGGUUAUCUUUUUCUAGGUCAUCAACCUGACCUCUACAUGUUGGAUUGCCCUCUGACUUGAUCCUUGGACCUCUGUUACAUCUAUACUUACCCCAUUGUCAGCAAAACCUGAAUCCUCAUCCAGGAGCAUGGCAUGAAAUGUCAUUUUUAUUCUGAUGACUCCCAAAUGUAUAUCUCUAGCCUGAAAUCUUAACAUUUAUAUGUGAUACAUAAACUGACAUUUCAAAUUUAACAUGUAUAACAUUGACCUUGUAACUCCUAUACAAAGCUGUUCCUUUCCCAGUUUUUUUCAUUUCGAUUAAUGAUAAUUCUAUACUUUUAUUUGCUCAGAUCUAAAAUCUUGGUGUCAUCCUUGAUAUUUUACUUUAUUUCACAUCCCACAUCCCCUGUGUUAGCAAAACCUAUAGACUCAGCCUUCAAAUUAUAGUUGCUUCACCCUCUCCACUCUCAUGAUUAACCACCAUCAGUCCUAGGCCAGCAUUCUGCAAUAAUAUAACUAUCACUCCAGUGCUUAUCUUUCUCCUCUUUAACUUAUUCUUAAGAGAGUAGUCUACAGGAUUUAUGUUAAAAAUUAGGUCAGAUGAUGUCACUCUUGAGCUCAACAUCAUGUAAUGGUUUCUACUCUUCCUCAGAGUAAAAGCCAAAGUCCUUUCUAUGUUAAUCGAGGGCCUACAUGAUAUAUAUCCCUUCCCUGCCAUGUUAUUCUGUGACCUUAUAUACCGCACUCUCAUUCCACUCCCAACCAGAGUAGCUUCUUCAUUCUUUCUUGAAGUUGUCAGGCAAGCUCCCAUCUCAGGGCCUUUCACCCUCUGCCUGGAAUCCUCUUCUCCCAAAUAGCUUUAUGGCUCACUUCCUCAUUUUCUAGAAGUUUCUAUACAAAUAUUACCUUCUCAGUGAUGCUUUUUCUGGCAACUCAUUUUAAAUUUUUUAUUCUGUCCCUCAAAUUAAAACAUAGGAAAUAUGUGAAGAGAUACUAGUGUUUGGUGUGUUUUAUUUAUUUUUUUAUUGUGUGUUUUCCAUACAUGGUUCAUACAACAUGUUUUUUCGAACUAAGCAAUGUGUCCUGAGGAGCUAUGUAUACAAAUUUAUCCAAUUGUGUAUCAUUCUUUUUAACUGCUACAUAGUAUUCUAUAGUGUGGAUACACCAAAGUUUUCUAGUUCUUCCACUAUUAAUGGACAUUUACAUUUUUUCCAUUUUAAGUUAUUACAAAGGUGAUUUGAAACUCCUGUGCAUGCAUGUUUGAGUUUGUACUUAUUAUUCUUACAAAUAAUGAGAAAUCAAAUUUCAAAGUCAUGGACUAUGCAUGUUUUUGUGGUUAAUAAUUUUACCAAACUACCAAUUACACUGUCAACAGCAGUGUAGGAGAGAUCCUAUACCUCUCCAACCAUAUCAACAGCGCUGCUUUCAGAUUUUGUAACUUUCUACUACUCUGAUGGGUUAAAAGCAAUGGUGUGUAUUAUCUUUUUUUAAAUUUGAACUUGUGUUAUUGCUUGUUCAUCUUUUAAUCUGUUACUGAUCAUUUGUACUGCCUAUUCUAUGAAGCAAUUUCUGUGAAUUGCUUCUUGUGAGUUUUGCCCACUUUUGAAUUUGGUUGUUUUAUUUUUUAUGAUUUAUAGUAAUAAUUUGCAUAUUAUUGAUACUAAUCCUCUGAGAUAUAUAUUGCAAAUAUUGUCCUAUGAUCUUACACUUGUUUUACAAAUUUAUGCUAUUUUCCAUAUAAAUAAAUUUAAUGUAGUCAUACAUAUGAUU